rnacentral:rRNA from 1 species
UUAGUGGCGGACGGGUGAGUAACGCGUGGGUAACCUGCCGUAUACAGGGGGAUAACAGUUGGAAACAACUGCUAAUACCGCAUAAGCGCACACUGUCGCAUGACAGAGUGUGAAAAUUUCCGGAGGUAUACGAUGGACCCGCGUCUGAUUAGCCAGUUGGCGGGGUAACGGCCCACCAAAGCGACGAUCAGUAGCCGACCUGAGAGGGUGACCGGCCACAUUGGGACUGAGACACGGCCCAAACUCCUACGGAAGGCAGCAG